AUUGAACGCUGGCGGCAUGCCUUACACAUGCAAGUCGAACGGCAGCACGGACUUCGGUCUGGUGGCGAGUGGCGAACGGGUGAGUAAUGUAUCGGAACGUACCUUUCAGUGGGGGAUAACGUAGCGAAAGUUACGCUAAUACCGCAUAUUCUGUGAGCAGGAAAGCAGGGGAUCGAAAGACCUUGCGCUGAUUGAGCGGCCGAUAUCAGAUUAGCUAGUUGGUGGGGUAAAGGCCUACCAAGGCGACGAUCUGUAGCGGGUCUGAGAGGAUGAUCCGCCACACUGGAACUGAGACACGGUCCAGACUCCUACGGGAGGCAGCAGUGGGGAAUUUUGGACAAUGGGGGCAACCCUGAUACAGCCAUGCCGCGUGAGUGAAGAAGGCCUUCGGGUUGUAAAGCUCUUUCGGCCGGGAAGAAAUCUCAUAGGCUAAUACCCUGUGUGGAUGACGGUACCGGAAUAAGAAGCACCGGCUAACUACGUG
rnacentral:rRNA from 1 species